rnacentral:rRNA from 1 species
AUGAGUCUCGACCCUUCUACCCACAUCCAUCUUCCCCGACCUUUUCAGUGGAGGACAUCUGUUUCCACACUUUUCCCGACACUCCUAUCACUCUUGUUGAGCCCUAAUCCAUUCCUCGUACUGCUCUUGCUUCUCCGAUUAUUCAAGAUUCAACACAUUUAUCACCGAUUAUCCUAUGAUUUCCUCACCUGCUUAUCACAGGAUUCGACCCAUUUAUCACCGGUGGCUUCCUUGUCUUCAUCACCUAAGUUUAUCUUGAUGAUUCUUCAUAGUAUUCUUUCAUAUUUGCCUCUUGCCUCACUUUUAUACACAUCGUUCGUGUGUUGUGGAUGCGUCUACUGA